UCGUCCCUCACUGUCGCUACCGCAACAUCCCACCACCAAUUCAUCCAAUGACUACCUUAACCUCAUCAUAUCCAUCUCUCCCUCCACUUGAAUCCUUAUAUUUGUCUAAUUUAGUUUGAUGCAUCAUCCCCUUCACGAUCCUCUUCUACAUCAAAGUUUACAAACCCACGAUCAUUGUAAACGACAACCACCACCGAUUACUACCUAGUGAGCCCCCUUUUCCUCUUCUGAUCGGAGACGUCUUCACUACCGCCGUUAGCCAGGAAACCACUAAUAUAUCUCCGCCAAAUCAUCUGCUCAUAACUGGAUUUUGCAAUCGAAGUUAGUGUUUAGAUCUUGGUACAAUCAGUUUCAAUUAAUUCCUUCGUUUCAUUCAUUUGAUCACAAUCGAUUUUAGGUACUUCCCUUCAAAGAUUUAGGUUCAUUCUUCCUCUAUCUCUAUUUAUAUAAAACCUUAAUCGAUCUUUAAUUUGCUUCUGUGUGGUUGUGGUUUUGGAGGCUGUGGUGACCAGGACGAAUUGAAAGCUGAUCGCUGACCUUCAAAUACCUUUAUACGGUCUAAAAUAUUUCUUUUGGCUAUGUAACGACAAUGGGAUGAAGCAUAGGUACAAUCCAAAUUGAUGUGGAAGAUUGUAUAAAAAAAGCUACAUUCGAUAUACUUCUAUUAUUUAAUCCAAUUGUUAAACUUAUUCAAUAGAGGACUCUAUUUUGUCCAUGGCCUGCAAUUGUUUGAUAAAAUUCAUGAAUAUGUUCACUUAACUCAGGCGCACUAACAUGUAGACGAGGAUUGAAUCUAUUUCACCUUUUUAAACGACUUCCGGUAAUUUACUUGAAAGCUUCAUUAAUUUAUAGCAAUACAAUACUAUAAUUUUUGAUUAACUAUAAGUCCAGGUCCUUUUAACCCUGUUCUAAUUGGAAUGCUUAAUUAGGAGAUUGUAUUACUAGAUAAUCACAUAAUUGUGUGAUGUACCUUUGUGACAUCCCCAUUUUGAUGUCCAUUUUAAACUUUUUGUUUAUGCUUGUUUAAAACAGAGUUUAUUUAUAAAUACAGAAUUUGGUCCUGUAAAACUAUUUCCAAAUAAAAUGUUUUUUCGCUGAUUUAUAAAAUCUUGGGAUGUCAUAACUAAUACAAAACAUAAGCAUAAAUAGGCUUUACAGUAUCUUAGACUAUCAUACUACAUCUCCUUGAAUCAUCUCCUUGAAUCUCUCAUCAAUCAUGUAACUUUGUAUUGCUACAUGUGAAAGAAGCUAAGUGGGUCAGGUUGGGAAACCUGGUGAGUAUAUAUCGUUUUCAAUCUAUACUAAUAUAGUUAAUAUAUUUAAUGAUCUAACAAUUAGCCUGAUUACCCAUCCCUUUUUCUUCUUUAUUCUUCUUUAUUCUUCCCUAAGGAUCUAUCCUAAGGGAUAUCAUAUUUAUCAUUGCUGACAAUAUUGUUACAGGGAUUUCCUCGCAAUAUAUGUUAGUAGGAUUUCUUUCAUCUUUUCAUUCCUAAGGAUCUGUCCUAAGGAUCAUCAUAAUCAUUGUUGUUGACAUUACUGUUACAGGGAUUUCUCUGCAAUACAUGUCAGUAGGUUAGAGUAUAUCAAAUGGGCAUGAAGUCCAUCGCUGACUAUGUUCCACGAGACUAUCAUCAAUUAGUUCGGUGGUUGUCACCUAUUCUCUACUAAGUAACUACAUCAUUUGUACACUAGUACCAUUCCUACAUCAUUGGUACACUAGCACCAUUUCUAAAGUCAUGGCAUCCUAUCAUUUCCUAC
rnacentral:lncRNA from 1 species